AUGAGAUUGUGACCAUGUUAAAUACAUCAACAUUUGUAUCUCCCAGUGGCCGUAGAAAUAGACAGGCUUGCAAUUCCUUUAUUCAUCAAUGAUUUUACUGUGCAUUUAGGCAUUGGGCUGGCCCCUGAAGAUAGAAAAUGAGCAGAAGAUGGCCCUUGCUAUGCUCAGGAGAAAGGCAGCAGAACAACUAACCUGAGAACCUGGAGGGGGAUGUGUGCCAGCCGAGCACUCACUAACAUCCCAGGCCAUGUGGCCUCGGGCUCGAGUACCAGCUGGUGACCCACAGAUGAAGGCACUUCACACCAGUGCAGGAGUG
rnacentral:lncRNA from 1 species